AAUUUUUUUUGCUCUGUAAUGGGAUGGGAUCCGAAGCCCCAUUGAGGGAUAAUACAGGCUCUCCCAUCCAACUCCUAUUCCGACACGUCCUCGUCGUGCAGAGUGGUAACAUGUG
rnacentral:ribozyme from 1 species